UGUGUGUGUGUGUGUGUGUGUGUGUGUUAGGGGAAGGGGGUCCUCAGAAUAGUCAAGGAGAGAAGCUUGUGGAGGGGCCCAGCAUUUUUUGGGUGGCACAUGGCAUUGAUGAGAUACACAGUCAGCUUAAGACACCCUUCACAUAUUUGUAAUUCAAAAUAAAAUAUCACUAUAAAAUAAAUGAAAAUAAGACCAAGGAUAUUCAGAUUUUUCCAAUGAUGACUUCAUCAAUGCUUUUUUGAGGAAAUGUAAAAUAUUAAAUUCUACCAUUUUUCCCUCAUUCUUUUGGGUACCCUGCUUUUGCGGAUUCCCUUAGUUCACAUGCCUAUAGGGCCCACCUUACACCAGCUCUGAGGCCAGGGGAUGCCCACCCACCUCUCUGGGACCAGUGGUGUGCCUUGUUGUCAGGGUGUGGGGAGGCUGAACACUCAAGUGAGUCACGGCUCUGGGAAUUUCUGGAGUGCCGCUAUCCCCAUUCCUGGGCUCUGAGUCAAGAAUGUAAUUGAAGCCCCAGGACAAUGGAGUGUGAAAGGGAAGAUGGGCCCCGGUGUCAGACCAGCUGGUGUCAGACCCGCUGGCCCGCCAGGCCCCAACCACAGAACAGGUGCUUGGCUUUUGUUCCUGCUGCUGGCUGGGUCCCUGUGCCCCACCCCACACCUCCGACCUCUCUGAACAGAAGCCACAGCUCCGAAGCUUAGGCUCUUUCUCCUCCGGCACGUCCAGCCCCUGCUCUGACUGCGAGCAGCCUGCUUGCUGCUGUGGAUCCCUGGUUUCAAGACUAAAGAUACAGGAGGCAGGCGCUGCAUCCCAACAGAGGAAACGAAGCGGGACCUCCAACGUGAAGGAUUCCACCAGAGGAUGAGGAUAUUGUUAUUAGCUGAAUAAAAUGUUCAGGUGUCCCAGGUAACUUCCAGUGUCUGGGAAUAAGAUCAACAACCAGGUGAGCUGUGUUUUCAUAGUGUCACUGGGAAGGCCCCCUGGAAACCAAAGCCUGGAGGCAAACCUCCAACGUGCCCUGGUGGAGACCCAGGACCUGGGCGCUCUCCUCUGGAUGCCGCAGGGGGUGAUGGCUGGUCACUCUCCAUCACAGAGGGUCUACUCAGCACCCUCCCCACCACUGGGGAGGGGCGGUUCUUACGCUCACCAAGGCUGCAUUUUAGUCCUCCAGGGCCUCUGUGAUUUCAGGGGGAAGAUCCCGCUGAGCUAUCCUGAACUGUAUCAUGAAGAACAUCAGAGGCAGCCUUGAAGGGCAAAGACAGCAUCACAGGGCAUGGCCCAGUAACAGAUUGCAGAACUCUCAUCACAGAUUUAAACAUUCUUGGAAGAUGCUUACGUGCUUACCUGGUAUCCUUUCUCCUUGGAGUUCCACAAUGUUUUCCUCUGAGCAAGGCAACAUCUCCAGCUGCUCAUUCUGAAAUCUGGGCCUGCUAGGUUUCAACAAUGCAAUUUAUAGGGUAUGAAUCUCAAAUUCUCUGUACUUCCUGGCUUUCUAAAUGGUGACCGUAUCCGCUUCCAGCCUCAGCGUCCACAGUCAAGAACCCUUGUCUCUCCUCCCUGACCUCACUGUGCCACGUGCUCAGAGACUAUCACACUGGGUCAGACCCAAGGUGUGUGCCACGUGGAGACAGGGUGUUCUCUCUUUUCUAUUUAUAAAGAAAGAUCAGGUAAUAACAAUUCUUCGAAUCGGCGUAUUUCGUUAACUUACUGAUUUCAUCUGACCCUGGAACCCAGGGAGGGAGUAGGCAUUAAGCCAUUCAUUCAUUCAUUCGUGGUCGACGUGAGCCACAAGCGGACUCAACCUACAUCUGCCGUUUCCAACUCUCCCAGCUGCACCUGCUGCUUCAUCUGCCAUGCCUAGUAGGUGCUUUUCUUCUGCUGUAAAAUGUCCAAAACAAACGGAAGAAUCCAAACAGGGCUUCGGAGUCACAUGGGGCUGAGGUGGAGGUCACACAGGAAGCUGGACCCCACUACUUUUAAGCUGUGGAACUGUGAGUAGGUUCACUCAGCUUCCCUGAGCCUGUUUGUAAAAUGAGGCAGAGCAGCUGAGGUAACGCUUGUAGGGCACUUGUUACAGGUUGUGGCGUACAGUAUCUGAGAACAGCAUUAGUAACCAUCAUCAACACUUAGGGCAGAGGGUUGCCUCAGCCUCACCGAGUUGGAUAUAAAAUCCCCAUGUGGUGGUCUCUGGAGCAUGUGUGGCAAGCUGAGGACAGGAGCAGUUUAACGGUUAUCAAGCAUGCCGUAAGUGCUGUGUUAUAUACUUUAUUACAUGGGUUGUACACUUGAGUCCUGUAGUAACCUACGAGCUAGGUGCUAAUCUCUUUCCCAUUUCACAGGUGAAGAAUCUCAGAUUUAGGGACUUGACAGGCUAGGUGGCUAGAGAAGGUGAAGCCAGAUCUGGCUCCCAAAGGAAAAGAGUGCUGGGCUUAGGAAGGGCCUCUAUGACCAGAGGGAGGCAGAGAGGCAUUUUUCUGUCUAGCAGGGGUAAGCGUAGGGGUGGUGAGCAUGUGGGAAGGUUGCGGACCCAGAGUGCCUAUUUGCCUUGAGCAAAAAGGGGCAGCCUUUUAGAAAUGGAAACUAGAAGCCUGGCCCAGGUUUCUUCCUAUGUGGUUCUUAGACUUAACACCCUUUCUUUCAGUGGAGAGAAAAUACCUGACAAAGGGCUUGGAAGAAAUCUAUAGAGACAUUUAAUACUUUUCAAUGAAAAUAUAAUCUGUGCACCCAAAUGAGUUCUCACUUACUUCUAUUUUAUGUUUUUCAUGAAAAUGUCCUUCCACCUCUGUAGUACAAGUUUGGCCAACUAAUAUUGUUUGUAAUCUAUUUUUGUUUGCUUAAAGGCGUCAAGAGUGACCCAUGGUAUUUUCAGUUUCCAUAUCCAAGAAAAUUAAGAUGUAUUAGAAUUUAUAACUCAGCAUACAUUAGAAAGCCAUAAAUCAAAUCACAAAAACUCUUUAGAGCAAUACUUUCAAGUGGAGUCACACUGCUGGGAGAAGCAGGUUGGCUGCACUAGCCCCUCUGCUGGCAUGGGUGUACGCUGCUGCCAAGGACUUAGCUAACAGCUGACCCCAAAUUCCCAAACCCAGAAAACCACUGCCAGAGGCCUGUGUGUAGGUGCAGACAUAUAAUGACACACCACGGAGAAAGGCUUUUGGAAAGGGUCUUUCCUGCGUAGUUGUAAUUUAACAGACCAUGGGGAUGCUACCUUGAGUGCUUCUGAGGGGUAACACAUGAAACCCAGACUUCCCCUGGACUCUGGGUUAUUGUUUUGCUUUAUUUGUGAGGGAAUGCAAGUUAAUCACAUGAUCAAAAGUACACAGAGGAGAAACAUACAAACGACAGGACCACCAAAUUUAGAAAAUGUCCUACAAUGUGCAUUUUAUUCCAUAUCAUUAUACAAUGUUUACAUAUAGUUAUAACUCUUUAGAAAAUGUUUUUUUCUUUACCAAUUGUACGUAGUGCCCAAAUCUUUCACUUUAACAUGGAGAAACAAA